GGUUAAGCGACUAAGCGUACACGGUGGAUGCCCUGGCAGUCAGAGGCGAUGAAGGACGUGCUAAUCUGCGAUAAGCGCCGGUAAGGUGAUAUGAACCGUUAUAACCGGCGAUUUCCGAAUGGGGAAACCCAGUGUGACUCGUCACACUAUCAUUAACUGAAUCCAUAGGUUAAUGAGGCGAACCGGGGGAACUGAAACAUCUAAGUACCCCGAGGAAAAGAAAUCAACCGAGAUUCCCCCAGUAGCGGCGAGCGAACGGGGAGGAGCCCAGAGCCUGAAUCAGCAUGUGUGUUAGUGGAAGCGUCUGGAAAGGCGCGCGAUACAGGGUGACAGCCCCGUACACAAAAGCGCAUGUGCUGUGAGCUCGAUGAGUAGGGCGGGACACGUGGUAUCCUGUCUGAAUAUGGGGGGACCAUCCUCCAAGGCUAAAUACUCCUGACUGACCGAUAGUGAACCAGUACCGUGAGGGAAAGGCGAAAAGAACCCCGGCGAGGGGAGUGAAAAAGAACCUGAAACCGUGUACGUACAAGCAGUGGGAGCACCCUUUGGGGUGUGACUGCGUACCUUUUGUAUAAUGGGUCAGCGACUUAUAUUCUGUAGCAAGGUUAACCGAAUAGGGGAGCCGGAGGGAAACCGAGUCUUAAUUGGGCGUUAAGUUGCAGGGUAUAGACCCGAAACCCGGUGAUCUAGCCAUGGGCAGGUUGAAGGUUGGGUAACACUAACUGGAGGACCGAACCGACUAAUGUUGAAAAAUUAGCGGAUGACCUGUGGCUGGGGGUGAAAGGCCAAUCAAACCGGGAGAUAGCUGGUUCUCCCCGAAAGCUAUUUAGGUAGCGCCUCGUGAAUUCAUCUCCGGGGGUAGAGCACUGUUUCGGCUAGGGGGCCAUCCCGGCUUACCAACCCGAUGCAAACUGCGAAUACCGGAGAAUGUUAUCACGGGAGACACACGGCGGGUGCUAACGUCCGUCGUGAAGAGGGAAACAACCCAGACCGCCAGCUAAGGUCCCAAAGUCAUGGUUAAGUGGGAAACGAUGUGGGAAGGCCCAGACAGCCAGGAUGUUGGCUUAGAAGCAGCCAUCAUUUAAAGAAAGCGUAAUAGCUCACUGGUCGAGUCGGCCUGCGCGGAAGAUGUAACGGGGCUAAACCAUGCACCGAAGCUGCGGCAGCGACGCUGAUGCGUUGUUGGGUAGGGGAGCGUUCUGUAAGCCUGUGAAGGUGGCCUGUGAGGGUUGCUGGAGGUAUCAGAAGUGCG
rnacentral:rRNA from 1 species